CGGGGACCCGCACAAGUAGUGGAGCAUGUGGUUUAAUUUGAAGAUACGCGCAGAACCUUACCAACACUUGACAUGUUCGUCGCGACUCUAAGAGAUUAGAGUUUUCGGUUCGGCCGGACGAAACACAGGUGCUGCAUGGCUGUCGUCAGCUCGUGUCGUGAGAUGUUGGGUUAAGUCCCGCAACGAGCGCAACCCUCACUUUUAGUUGCCAUCAUUAAGUUGGGCACUCUGAAAGAACUGCCAGUGAUAAGCUGGAGGAAGGUGGGGAUGACGUCAAGUCCUCAUGGCCCUUACGUGUUGGGCUACACACGUGCUACAAUGGUAUCUACAACAGGAAGCAAAACGGCAACGUUUAGCAAAUCCCGAAAAGAUACCUCAGUUCGGAUUGCACUCUGCAACUCGAGUGCAUGAAGCUGGAAUUACUAGUAAUCGUGGAUCAGCGUGCCACGGUGAAUGCGUUCCCGGGUCUUGUACACACCGCCCGUCACACCAUGGGAGUUGGUUCUACCUUAAGGCAAGGUUUUAAACCCUUGACCACGGUAUAGUCAGCGACUGGGGUG
rnacentral:rRNA from 1 species